rnacentral:rRNA from 2 species
UAAACGACUCUCGGCAACGGAUAUCUCGGCUCUCGCAUCGAUGAAGAACGUAGCGAAAUGCGAUACUUGGUGUGAAUUGCAGAAUCCCGUGAACCAUCGAGUCUUUGAACGCAAGUUGCGCCCGAAGCCUUUUGGCCGAGGGCACGUCUGCCUGGGUGUCACA